UACAGAGGGGGCAAGCGUUGUUCGGAAUUACUGGGCGUAAAGGGCGCGUAGGCGGCCUUCUAAGUCGAACGUGAAAUCCCUGGGCUCAACCCAGGAACUGCGUCUGAUACUGGAAGGCUUGAAUCCGGGAGAGGGAUGCGGAAUUCCAGGUGUAGCGGUGAAAUGCGUAGAUAUCUGGAGGAACACCGGUGGCGAAGGCGGCAUCCUGGACCGGUAUUGACGCUGAGGCGCGAAAGCCAGGGGAGCAAGCGGG
rnacentral:rRNA from 1 species